rnacentral:lncRNA from 13 species
CCCCCGUCUCAGCCUUUUAAUAGAUUAAAUUUGAUGAAUUUUCAUUGAGGCCAGAAUAUUUUAUUUCCCGCAGUAUAUUUCGUUAACUCUCAUGAGCGCCGUGGUGCGAGACAGACCCGCGCAUGCCGCGUUUAACGUGUAGCCUAUUUUUCCUGGGUUUGUUUUGGGGAGAAAUACUCCACGAUCUUAAAGACCAGUAGUACCUGGGAAAACAAGAUUAAAAAAAAAAAAAAGAAGAAGAAGAAGGAAUAAACUAGGAAUACUUGAAACGGUAGCCUGGUGACUGCCCUGUCCCGGUCGCUUUGCGGGCUGUGCCGAGGGAAGGAGAACUGCUGGGGGGACGGAGCGGGGACCGAGAGCGCCCAGCCCUGCCCGGCUCCCGGAGCCCCGCGCCGCGGCCGAUCCCGUUCCUCAGGGAAACGGGACUCGGAACAAGGCGCACCUGGGGCCGCUUUUACAUCCGUGACCGUGUCGUUGCUACGUGAACCGAAUUAGUGCGGGUUAGUGUAGGUACGGCCCCAGUGUGCUGCGGGCUCGAGCGGUCCCGAAAGGUGCGUCCUUACAAGGCACCAACCGUGUGUUCGUCCCCGGGAGCCGAGGCGCGGCGGGACAGCAGAACGGAGCAGGAGCCACAGGACUGACAACGGGGCUGUGCCGCCUGUCCCCUUCUGGGUCUCGAUGCGGGAGGCGAGAGCCCUGCCCCGAUGCCUUCAGGCGGCGGCUGCGCUGGCCGAACGGGAGCGGGACUCUCCGAGCCAGGGGCGGACCGGCGCUCCCCGCCGGACACGUUUUCUCGCCAAGAGGAGAGGAAGAAAAACAACCUUUGGGAGAGGAAGGCUGCCGCAUUUUCAAACAAACCGACCCCAGACCUUCCAGGUUGUGCUGCCUGAAGACGUUAUGAUUUUCGAUGACAAGAGCCAGCACGGGGUGAAUGCAGGCACGGGGUGGCCCCGACCCGCGGGCUGGCCCUCGAGGGACAUGUCACUGACAACGGAUGGGCAUCUGGCGCUUGGCUGGGGCAGGGGCGUCUGAAGAAAAACCGCGGGGCUUCGGUAAAUGGGCUCUGGGAGAGGUUCGGGAUUUGUGGGUUGUCGGGGUAGCUUCCACUUCUUCAGGCAAGCAGUCCUUGCAAAGGUGCGGAUCUGGAGGCACGCUGCCGGCCCCGCCACAGAGAAGGGUUACUGACGGGUUGUUUAAGGUAUGUCGCCGGUUUCCCUGGGUUUUUCCCGGCGAUAACUGUGAUUCUUUUCGCUACUAUCGUUUUGUUCCUUGAAAACCCAAACAAUCAAUAAAGUACAGGGCGAAGCUGAGCACAACACGAGACGUAAUGUUCUAAGUUAUCAAAAGGGGGAAGAAACGAAAGAGAGUCACUCGCUACUGAUCUCUUUUUUUUUUUUUUUUUUUUUCAGGUGUUGCUUUUAACAAGAUGUUCAGAAAAAAAAAAGUAUCAGAAUCAGACACACGUUGACUGCGCUUCCUCUGCUCCUUGCUUUGGAGGUGAUAUCGCUUGGUGCUUAUCAGCGACAACGUCUGCGGCAUCUGGUACGUGGCUCUCGGCUGCUCCCCGCGCUCGGGUACACGUGGUUCUUGCAGCGCGAAGGCUGCCCCGCAUCCAACCCCACAUUCAGCCCCGCAUCCAGCCCCGCAUCCAACCCCACAUUCAGCCCCGCAUCCAGCCCCGCCGAGGAGCUGCUGGCAGCCCCAGCGCAGAAUCAGAAGCGGCGCCGGUAACGGCUCGCACAGCCCGGACAACGAAAUCCCGAGAAAUGUUCACCGCCGCUGGCUGCCUGGCUACUAAAACAACCCCCGGGCGCGGGGUGAGGCCGGCAGGCGUUUCGGGGAAAAGCAGGUUGCAGGAGCCUGAGGUGUGGGCAGCCGGAGUUCUGCCUUGAUGCGUUUUCACCAAGAUUCUGGGGCCGUACCCGCCGGGCGCUGCGGGGAGCUGCUGCCAGCCCCUUCUGCCCUCAAAGCAGCCCCAGGCGGGGGCAGGAGGGACUCGCACCCUGAGUCCGGGAACGGCCCCGGGGAUCCCCGCUAGUACCAGUGGGAGAGGGGCUUUCGAGGAGCUUCAAUCCAUGUCCUCAUUAGAUCCUGCGAUGGAUCUGAUGUUCCCAGGGAGCGGCGGGAGGGCGCGGGGCAGCGGCCGCCCUGCCGGAUAGGCAGGGCAGGCGCAAGAGCAGGGGCAGGGACAGUGGAAGGGACGGCCUCUCAGUUCCCGGCCUUACAAGUUGCUUUUCUGGUUCCUAUGAAGCCUCCGAGAUACGGGGACGUUUUCAAAAAAAAAAAAAAGAAACGGGAAAUUAAAAAAGUUAGCAGUAACGCU